GGGUUCGUAGCUUAGCGGCAGAGCAGGCGGCUUUUAACCGCACGGUCCUCGGUUCGAUCCCGAGCGAACCCA
rnacentral:tRNA from 1 species